UACGAAGGGUGCAAGCGUUAAUCGGAAUUACUGGGCGUAAAGCGUGCGUAGGCGGUCUUUUAAGUCCGUUGUGAAAGCCCUGGGCUCAACCUGGGAAUGGCAGUGGAUACUGGAAGGCUGGAGUACGGUAGAGGAGGGUGGAAUUCCCGGUGCAGCGGUGAAAUGCGUAGAGAUCGGGAGGAACAUCAGUGGCGAAGGCGGCCCUCUGGACCAGUACUGACGCUGAGGCACGAAAGCGUGGGGAGCAAACAGG
rnacentral:rRNA from 1 species